CAGUGCAAGGCACCUGCUUCAAACAGUUACAUUCAUAAACACCUAAACUCUACGAAACCAAAAAAGUGUUGCUAUAUCCAAUUACAGACUACAUACGGCCAUAACUUUAGUACAUUUUAAUGAGUUAAUAAAUCAUCAUUCUAAAAAUACUUCUCAUAAGCACGUAGAUGUGUAGAUGUACAAAUGUUUGCCGGUGCACCUAUCUCUCUGCCGAAAUAUUGUAUCGAUCGGAAGAUAAAUUUCGAUAAGGACUGAUAAGUUUUGUUAUAGUUUUAAAUAGUAAGAACGGUCACUAGGCUUCAGUCGUGGACAACUGUCAGACUCGCGAUCAGUGAUUACAAAGUUUUUCUAAUUUAAAUCAACAAAAUGUGCUGCUGUGUGUGUAAUCUCUUGUGCAAGAUCCUCAGUUUGAUCGUGUCUCUACUGUUCAUCGUGGCUGUAAUACUGCUCAUCCUAUGGGGCGUUGGAGUAAUAUUUGGCAAUAAUAAUACCGACACCGCCAAAGCGCUGAGCUUUAACGAAAUGACCUACAAUAACCCGAAACUACUUUGAUUACAACGGCAACCUAUCUUCAUAAAUCUUACUAUACUUAUAAUACGAAAAAUGCAAUGCUGUGUACUCGUCAAUAUACACUAAAAGAUCAAAAUGUAACUUCUCUCUCACUGUUUUAAUUGUAUAAAUUAUUACUUAUUAUAAUAUAAUGUAAGCUAUUUUCUAAUCUUCAUUCUUUUCUUUCUCUCCUUCUCUUUAGUUUUAAUUGUAAAUAUAGCUUAAGUUAUAAAUAUAAACGUUGCUAGUUAUGAAUAUAUUGCACUAUAUUGUAUAUCUAGCUUCACGCAUUCAAUGCAUUUUAAAAACAUGUGACUAUUGGAUAAAACAUAGACUGAAUCUUGUCUGAAUCUUUGACUUUUAUGAUCAAAGGUCUAUUGACUUGUAACCCAACAAUCGCAUGUGUAAGUUCGCUUUUAUAUACAGUAUGUCUAUGAAUAUCUUAGCUGAUAGCAAAGAACAAACAACUAACAAAUUAUUCGAAUUACCUCCAUCAAUUACGUAUUUGACCUGAACCAAUUGAUAGAGCAUAUAUGUAAGUAAAUUGCCCGUAGUUAGUAGGUAAGUACAUGGUUACACUUCGUUUGUUUUGAGUAACUUAUGAUGUAUCACAUUUCUUUAUCUAACAAUUAAUGAAAAGAUAUUUUAGACAUUAAGCUCUAACACAGUUUAAGGUACCCAUGUACAAAUAUGGCUAGCAAAUAAAUGUUCAAAUAGUUGGUUGUUAUUUACUCGCUUAAGUCAAAAUUAUCUUGAUCACACUAUAUCUGCUUAAAUAAUAACAAUGUACUGGGAUCAAUCUAUCAUCACUGACUAUAGUAGCCAAGCAAUAAGCCUGAUAUAGUGUUGAUGUCGCCAUGUGGAAUGUCAACACAGCUGUUAUUGUGCCUAUUGUCGUUACGGCAAAUGGUCUAAUAACCAAGAGCCUCGACCAACACCUCAUGAGGCUCUCGUUAGGUGGCUAGAUCAAGGGUCUGAUUCAGAGGGCAGUACUCCUUGAUACGGCGCGUAUUGUGAUGAUGUUUCUGUCCCUGGGGCCCUACAUACCGGUACCUUGUGGCUGAUGUCGCGAUGUCAGUGACCACUUAUUUUUAUAUUUUUAAAUGUUUUUAUAUUUAUAUUUAAAAAAAAAAAACAUUAUGUUAUGUAAACAAUUUAAUGAAUAAACGAAAUAAUAUUAUCAUCGGUUUCCCCAUUCCUUUUCCGUUGCCAUCCCAUCACAAUAGGCCGAGUAGUUACCAUGAGGUCUGAACACAUGUAACUCACUCUACUUAGCAUUGUACUUGAGUCACAAUAAAAAGUACGAUCAAGAAGAGUUUUUGUCCAUUAUUUUCAUCCAUAAACAAUUUUGAAGUUUUAGACAGACCUGUCAAAGUAAUUUGUAAGAAUGUCACCAGUUCAGUCUUUGCUAACGCUAAAUAUUAUAAUUAACACGUUAAUUUCGGGAAUAGAACUAACUACAGAAUAAUUAUUUGUUUAUAACGCUUAGGAGUCAUCAUAUAAUUGUGGAAACCUAUGGAUUUAUAGUAAGAAGCAGAAAACACAAUCAUGUGGUAACUAUGUUUUACUUUUCGAAAAGACACUUCGAAUUGAACCCUCUUAUGGCAAUAAGAGAACUGUAUGCAUUUAGGCACCAUAACCAUUCGUCAUUUUAUUCUCAAUAAAAAACAACAGUUUUGUAUGGAAGCCACUUUAUUCAACAAAUUCUCCUACUAUAAUAUUACUUGCACCUCACAACGCAAUAUAAAACACUAACAUGUCAGUUAUUUUAGGAAUUAUAAAAUACGACCAGUACAAGUUCACAGCGAGUUUGAAAUAAAUAAAAUGUAAACAAUAGCCAACUGGUCACGGACGAUUCUAUUUCGAAGUUUUAUGCGUUGGUAAUCAUUGUUUGUAACUUUAUAGCCGUACUAUAUAACAGAUUAGCCCAUUGCCUUUACGUAGUCGGUAAUGUAUUAUGUUAUAACCCUUCUCAAAUAUCCGGCCACAUCAAACUUAUGAAUUAAAUGAGUCUAUAUUUGUUAUUGUGACGAAGAUAAUGAGCAUAAAUCUGGAUUGAUAUAGUGGAAAUACUUUUACUAUAAUCAGUGCUAACUCUAAUAAUUUGAUAACAUUUGCUAACACUUGGUAAGCCAAAAGGCUGGGUAAAUUCCAUACUCAAAAAACUUCAUUAUUUAACGAAUUUAUACCUAAUUAUAUAUUACACCUAAAAUUGGGCAUUACGUCAUAAUAUUGUGGUUUCCACUAGGAUAUAGUGACGACAAUUUACAAACAGGAUGCGUGAUGGUUUCGGUAAUGCGUAGAUACCAUCAAAGGCGAUUAACACACGGAAAUUACUUAGUAAAUAGUUAUAGAUAGGUUAUUGGUGUGAACAGAUAACACGAGGCUCUUUUGGGAGUGUCUAGUUACCAAAAUAUAAUAAAGCAUUAGUGUAUAGGCUGAAAAACACUUUAUCCGACUCAAAAUAUUUAGUUAUUUUACAGAUGUUAAUAUUAAAGUUGAAAAACAGCUUAACGCCCUGCCCUGCUUCAGGCAUUACAAAUGUGACGGUUUAUACUAUUCUUAUUACUAUUUAUUACAUAAUAUAUUCUAAACAUAUAUUAUUACAAUUUGCAUUCAGUUAUAGGUACCUGACAGUAUAAGUAGGUACAAUUAUUCCUACUGCGAUUGUAGAACUGUUAGAGGGUUACUUGAGAUGUAAAGUAGUUUGGAAGGCAAAACGAAGUAGGCUGGUUUCAUUUAGUAAUAGUAUCCUAAUAGUAUACCUCCUCACUUCACCUUAUUCGGGUCGGGUCAUAUUUGAUGAUAUCCAAUUGUUAAAUGGAAAUAAUAAUUCAUGUGACGUUAUAAACCCUUUAUUUUCCUAAAUCACAUGACCAUAGAGAUGGGAUCUCUGUUCGUAUUACCACUGCGCUUAUAAAUCUUUAUCGUCAUCACCGUUGACAUAAUGGUAUUACAACAAUGCUGAAUUUCAGCAUAUUACAGGUAUGGCUGUCUAGUCUUUUGUAAUAGUUUAUAGUAAAGGUGCAUCUACACGGUUCAUGUAGCUGGGGUAAGAGAUAAGUGACUAGAGCACGCGGGUGGGUAUUUUGGUUUGAUAUAGGUAUGCACAAGUCGCUAGACCAGCGCGUUUUUGAAAUGCAUGUAGCCUGUGCAUGUGCCUCAACGUGCGCAAGCUACUUGCACCGUGUAAAUGUUAACAAGCAGCGUGCAGGAAAGCCAUGGGGAAAUAUUGAUAGUCCUGACACCCAUGCGAUGAACCAACUUUAACAAAUAGUCCUAUUAUCAUUUACCUAGCCUUUUCCUAGCUAUGGUGGGGUCAGCUUCCAGUCUAACAAGAUGCACCUCAGUACCAGUAUUUUACAUAGAGUGAUUGAGACUUUCUGACUUUUCUGACAGCCAUUUUAUCAUGCCUUCCGGAACACGGAGGAACUCGUUAUGACAAGAUGGUCCAUCCAUGAUGAUGAUGGUGGUGAUGAUCCAUGGACCGACCGAGCUAAUCAUUGCGGUCAUAAAACUAUCUUACUAUCGAUUGACCCACACAGCUAUGUGGCUAAGUGACAACUUAACCACGAACUCCGAACAAAAAAUGCAGUCAACUUAGCAAAUGACGUUGAAUGAUAGGUAAUAAGCUACAAACUUGUAUAUUAUACACACCGGUUUUUUAAAUAUUGUUCCCUCAAGUCUCCUUCAAUCACAUGUGCGCGCGCUAAAAGUUCACAAAAAAAUUCACAUACUCAAGAAGAGAUCUUUGUAAGAAGACGAUUCUUGUGACCGCGAUCGCAUGCCAAGGUAUGUACUAUUUUGUAGCUUAUUACCUUAAAUUCUGAUGUGCUAAGUUAAAAUGACUGAUACGUAAUUAUUUAAUUAUUACCUAUAUUUAUUGAUAACUUUUUUUCAGCUUUAUGUGCAAGCUUCUUUGUCAGAUCUGCAGCUUGACGAUGGGUGUCAUGGUCGUCGGUGCGAUCUUCUUUUUAGCAUUCUGGUUCCUUCGAUGGUUAUUUGAUAGCUAAAUCAAGAUUAUAAUUUAGAUUGUAAGUCUAAGUUAUAAGUCAAAGGAUUGACUUUAAGGAUUGGUUUAAGUUAAGACUUAAGUUUUAGUAGUUCGGUUUACAACUGCACGCUUUUGACUAUCAUGACAUGUUGGCGGUUGAAGAUGUCUUCUUUACCAUGAAAAUAUGAUCUUAAAAUAAUUUUAUUCUGGCUCAAGGUAAAAUAAAUAAAUUGUAUUAAACUCUA